AAACUUAAAGGAAUGGACGGAAAGCCACCACCAGGCGGGGAGCUUGGGGCUCAAUUGGAUUCACCACGGGAAUUUUCCCCAGGCCCGGCCACUGGAAGGAUUGACAGAUUGAGAGCUCUUUCUUGAUUCGGUGGGUGGUGGUGCAUGGCCGUUCUUAGUUGGUGGAGUGAUUUGUCUGGUUAAUUCCGAUAACGAACGAGACUCUGUCCUGCUAAAUAGUGUCUGCUUCUCUUUUGAGCAGACAAUUCUUCUUAGAGGGACUGGCGACUCUUAGUCGCACGAGAUUGAGCAAUAACAGGUCUGUGAUGCCCUUAG
rnacentral:rRNA from 1 species